rnacentral:rRNA from 1 species
AUGCUACCACUACCCGUCCACCUGUCCUUCAUGCGCGGCCACUACUGGGCGGGCAUGAAGGCCAACUGGAUCGACCUCAUCCACCACACCGGUAGUUCGUGGAGUCUCAUGGAUAUCUACACCCAGCGAGAGAUCACCCUUCCAUCAGUUGAUAUGAGAACAGUAGUAAGAUUCAUCGACACAGCUUGUUGCCAGAAUUACCGAUGCAAGUCGAAGAAGGAUUGGCCGGUGCUGCCGGCUGGCAUCAAGUUCGAUCCCACGGAUCAGGAGCUGAUCGAGCACCUUGAGGCCAAUGUGAGUGCUGACAGCGCGAGAUUUCAGUCUCUCAUCGAUUUGUUCAUACCAACCAUCGACAACAAGCACAACAUAUGCUACACCCAACCUGAGAAACUUCCAGGUAUCACACUGAGUGACCUAAGGAAGCAAUUCUUCCAGCGCAAUUCUAGGGCGUUCAAAAGGGGCAUGUGGACGCGUCGCAAGAUACAGUCGGAGUGCGGCAUGCACGCGAUGUGGCACAAGACCGGCAAUACCUUGCCGGUGAUGGUCAACGGCCGGCAGACGGGCAGCAAAAAAGAUUCUAGUGCUGCACACCAACAAGAACUUCGACCAGCAGAGGACCAACUGGGUGAUGCACCAGUCGAGCAAGUUUCAACUAGGCUGCAGACUACCCAGGGUUGGUUUUGUUUUGAACAGGCCCAGCCCAUGACGACAACGGGGCACAAAGAUCCAGCAGGUAUCACACUGAGUGACCUAAGGAAGCAAUUCUUCCAGCGCAAUUCUAGGGCGUUCAAAAGGGGCAUGUGGACGCGUCGCAAGAUACAGUCGGAGUGCGGCAUGCACGCGAUGUGGCACAAGACCGGCAAUACCUUGCCGGUGAUGGUCAACGGCCGGCAGACGGGCAGCAAAAAAGAUUCUAGUGCUGCACACCAACAAGAACUUCGACCAGCAGAGGACCAACUGGGUGAUGCACCAGUACCACCUCGGGGACUUGGAGCAAGAGAAGGAUCGGGAACUGGUCCUCUGCAAGAUUUUCUACCAGACGAACACUAG